CAAUAGCGUAUAUUAAAGCUGUUGCGGUUAAAAAGCUCGUAGUUGGAUUUCUGUCAAGGACAACUGGUCCGCCCUUCGGGUGAGCACAUAGUUUGGUCUUGGCAUCUUGUUGGAAACUGUUGCUGCACUUGGUUGUGUGGCGCAGCGUCCAGCACUUUCACUUUGAGGAAAUUGGAGUGUUUCAAGCAGGCACAUGCCUUUGGACACAGUAGCAUGGAAUAAUUAGAUUGGGCUUUUGCUCCAACUUGUCGGUUUCUGGAGCUGAGGUGAGAAUUAAUGGGGAUUGUUGGGGGCAUCCGAAUUUAGCCGUCAGAGGUGAAAUUCUUGGAUCUGCUAAAGACGGACAACUGCGAAAGCGUUCGCCCAGGAUGUUUNCAUUGA
rnacentral:rRNA from 1 species